AGAAAGUGGCGAACGGGUGAGUAACGCGUGGGUAAUCUACCCUGUUAAGUGGGGGAUAACCCUCCGAAAGGAGGGCUAAUACCGCAUAAUAUCUUCUCCUCUAAAAGAGAAGAAGAUUAAAGAUGGCCUCUAUACUAUGCUAUCGCUUCAGGAUGAGCCCGCGUCCUAUUAGUUAGUUGGUGGGGUAAUGGCCUACCAAGACUACAAUGGGUAGCCGGUCUGAGAGGAUGUACGGCCACACUGGGACUGAGAUACGGCCCAGACUCCUACGGGAGGCAGCAGUGGGGAAUAUUGCGCAAUGGGGGAAACCCUGACGCAGCGACGCCGCGUGGAUGAUGAAGGCCUUUGGGUUGUAAAAUCCUGUUCUGGGGGAAGAAAGCUUAAGGGUCCAAUAAACCUUUAAGUUUGACGGUACCCCAAGAGAAAGCUCCGGCUAAUUAUGUGCCAGCAGCCGCGGUAAUACAUAAGGAGCAAGCGUUAUCCGGAAUUAUUGGGCGUAAAGAGCUCGUAGGCGGUCUUAAAAGUCAGUUGUGAAAUUAUCAGGCUUAACCUGAUAAGGUCAUCUGAAACUUUAAGACUUGAGGUUAGAAGAGG
rnacentral:rRNA from 1 species